UACGUAGGGUGCAAGCGUUAAUCGGAAUUACUGGGCGUAAAGCGUGCGCAGGCGGUUUUGUAAGUCUGAUGUGAAAUCCCCGGGCUCAACCUGGGAAUUGCAUUGGAGACUGCAAGGCUUGAAUCUGGCAGAGGGGGGUAGAAUUCCACGUGUAGCAGUGAAAUGCGUAGAGAUGUGGAGGAACACCGAUGGCGAAGGCAGCCCCCUGGGUCAAGAUUGACGCUCAUGCACGAAAGCGUGGGGAGCAAACAGG
rnacentral:rRNA from 1 species